GAUGAACGCUGGCGGCGUGCCUAAUACAUGCAAGUCGAGCGAACAGACGAGGAGCUUGCUCCUCUGACGUUAGCGGCGGACGGGUGAGUAACACGUGGAUAACCUACCUAUAAGACUGGGAUAACUUCGGGAAACCGGAGCUAAUACCGGAUAAUAUAUUGAACCGCAUGGUUCAAUAGUGAAAGACGGUUUUGCUGUCACUUAUAGAUGGAUCCGCGCCGCAUUAGCUUGUUGGUAAGGUAACGGCUUACCAAGGCAACGAUGCGUAGCCGACCUGAGAGGGUGAUCGGCCACACUGGAACUGAGACACGGUCCAGACUCCUACGGGAGGCAGCAGUAGGGAAUCUUCCGCAAUGGGCGAAAGCCUGACGGAGCAACGCCGCGUGAGUGAUGAAGGUCUUCGGAUCGUAAAGCUCUGUUAUUAGGGAAGAACAAAUGUGUAAGUAACUAUGCACGUCUUGACGGUACCUAAUCAGAAAGCCACGGCUAACUACGUG
rnacentral:rRNA from 1 species